rnacentral:hammerhead_ribozyme from 1 species
AUCCAGCUGACGAGUCUGAAAUAGGACGAAUGCGCUUUCUGCAU